rnacentral:tRNA from 1 species
GACCCCGUAGCUCAACAGGAAGAGCGGUUCGCAACAGCGUUCAGGGAUGCCGGUUCGAGUCCGGCCGGGGUGACCA